rnacentral:rRNA from 1 species
UACGAAGGGGGGCUAGCGUUGCUCGGAAUCACUGGGCGUAAAGCGCACGUAGGCGGCUUCUUAAGUCAGGGGUGAAAUCCUGGAGCUCAACUCCAGAACUGCCUUUGAUACUGAGGAGCUUGAGUCCGGGAGAGGUGAGUGGAACUCCGAGUGUAGAGGUGAAAUUCGUAGAUAUUCGGAAGAACACCAGUGGCGAAGGCGGCUCACUGGCCCGGUACUGACGCUGAGGUGCGAAAGCGUGGGGAGCAAACAGG